rnacentral:rRNA from 1 species
GACGAACGCUGGCGGCGUGCUUAACACAUGCAAGUCGAACGGUAAGGCCCUUCGGGGUACACGAGUGGCGGACGGGUGGGUAACACGUGGGUGAUCUGCCCUACACUUCGGGAUAAGCCUGGGAAACUGGGUCUAAUACCGGAUAGGACCCUGGGAUGCAUGUCCUGGGGUGGAAAGCUUUUGCGGUGUGGGAUGGGCCCGCGGCCUAUCAGCUUGCUGGUGGGGUGAUGGCCUACCAGGGCGACGACGGGUAGCCGGCCUGGGAGGGUGACCAGCCACACUGGGACUGAGAUACGGCCCAGACUCCUACGGGAGGCAGCAGUGGGGAAUAUUGCACAAUGGGCGCAAGCCUGGUGCAGCGACGCCGCGUGAGGGAUGACGGCCUUCGGGUUGUAAACCUCUUUCAGCACCGACGAAGCGCAAGUGACGGUAGGUGCAGAAGAAGGACCGGCCAACUACGUGCCAGCCGCCGCAGUAA